GAUGAAGAACGCAGCGAAAUGCGAUAAGUAAUGUGAAUUGCAGAAUUCAGUGAAUCAUCGAAUCUUUGAACGCACCUUGCGCUCCUUGGUAUUCCGAGGAGCAUGCCUGUUUGAGUGUCAUUAAAUUCUCAACCUCACCCGUUUUCUGAACGGGGUCG
rnacentral:rRNA from 1 species